ensembl:lncRNA
GAGCUCUGACCCACAGAGCAGUGUGGGGAUAAAUACUGUGUGCAGUCCUGGGCUGCUCAGGUUGAUGGGGCUGGCGUGGAGGUGGCUUCCUCAAGUGCAGGGCCUGAGGCCUUUGGAGGGAAAUCCCAUCAAAAAGGAUGAAGCUGGGUUCCUAACACCACUCACAAAUAGCCCAUCAGAAAGGAUGAAGCUGGGUUUGCUAACACCCCUACUCAUAUGCAUACACACCAAGGAAUGCCUGGCUGCCUGUUCCCGCUGGCAUUUGUCUGAACAAGCUGCAGCACAAAUCUGGAUGAAUCCUGGGUUCAGCCCUGCAGGAGGCCUCAGGUAUUUGGUUUCCUGAGUGAUAUUUUGAAGCUUUCUUUUCUGAACCCCAUUGAACUGUGACUGUGAAAUCCUCCCUGGAGAACUCCUGUCUCGGAUCCAAGUAGAUCUUGCUCUGAUCAGGAGUAAUGUCUCAGAGGAGUGAUAGGAUCAACUUCAUCCUCCUGUAGAUUUUCCUUCUCUGCCGGCAACCAAUUUCUUGCACACUGCUACAGGAAAAAAAAAAAUAUAAUAAAAACAAACAACUCCCAGGGAUGCUCCUGUGCCUCACUCUGCCAAGGACUGGUGAUCACAUCAACAUCUUGGUUCUCAGGCAUCUGCCAAAACCCAAUGGCUUCAGCCAGAACGGCAGAGCAGGGGUGAGCCAGCUGUGAUAUAACGGGCAGAGCUCUGGUUCCUGGGGAGUCUUCUCUGCAGAGAUGGGCUUCUUCAUUUAAUGGGCCUUGGAUCUUAUUUAACACAUCGGCUCAUGUACCGUGCGGGUGUAAAGAAGCUGUGUGUAUAUAAUAAAAAACCUCAGCCUAUUCAGUAGCUAAGGGAGGCCUAAUAAAUUUGCCACUACAGCAAGUGUUAGUCUCUAGGGCCAAUACUGAAUGCUGGAGUUUAAUAAACAAAAAUUCUGAACUAAAAGGUAAACCAGUUCAGCUGACAAAGCAAAAACAAUGUAAUUAGAAAU